rnacentral:rRNA from 1 species
GGAUGAAUAUUGGUCAAUGGGCGGAAGCCUGAACCAGCCAAGUAGCGUGCAGGACGACUGCCCUAUGGGUUGUAAACUGCUUUUAUGCGGGGAUAAAUGACACUACGUGUAGUGUUUUGCAGGUACCGCAUGAAUAAGGACCGGCUAAUUCCGUGCCAGCAGCCGCGGUAAUACGGAAGGUCCAGGCGUUAUCCGGAUUUAUUGGGUUUAAAGGGAGCGUAGGCCGCCUGGUAAGCGUGUUGUGAAAAAU